CAUUUUAUAAAAUUAAAUGGCACAACUGUCGGAAAACCUUGAUUUUCUCAAUACAUAUACCUAACAAAAUCGAGGAUUAGCUUCAAUUACAAUUGCCUUGUUUAAACUGUCUCUGACGUGACGAUUUACUUCGUGAUACUAUACCAGGAAAUUAACAGUAUAACGUACACGUGUCUCCAAAGCAAGUGACUCAAUGCCAGCCGAUGAUUUAACACAACGAUAAUGGGUAUUAAUAUCAAUGCUCGAUAGACGCGUUACAAUUUUAACAUCGUAAUAAAAGAAGGAAAAGUAGAUAAAAAGAAUGAAAGAGAAACAAAGGAAUUUCGCUAUUAUCGUUAAAAAAAAAACGAUACAGCAGAAUAUAAAUAUCUUCAUCUUAUAUAAGGAUUAUAAAAUAACAGUCUAUAGUCUAUAGUCUAUAGGAACAUGUCGUUAUUAUGUAACACUGAUGAUCUAAUAAUCGACGUAUAAUUGUGCAUGUAUGCAAAAUUCCUUUUUUUCAGCUCUAUUUCAUUAGUCUUAGACGAAUUGGUCAAUUAGCUUACAUUCGUAAACAUUCAAAUACUUCUUACACGAUCAAACGAAUAUUAUUAGUCGCAAGUUAUAAAUUAUUAAUGAAAUUGUAGAAACAAUUUAUGCUACAAAAGUCCGUAACGUACAAUUUGUCAUUUAUCAAUUUAUUAAUAUUAUCCUGCCAGAACAAGUCUCAGAAUCCUUCAAAACGUAACGCACGUUCUGAAUCGAUAAAUUGACCUAUGACGAAACAACACGUAACACGAUCAACGACGUGAUUUAAAAUCUGCAAGCUUCAACCGAUUGUCAUACGAGUUACACGUGUUCUGGCGCAAGUAAUACUGCAUAACCCGUUCCGAUGCAUUAGCAGACUCCUCUUGGUUAUUAAGAACGCCGCCAGCCUAAUUGCACGUGUCAAGAAUUUUCAAGUAAUUAAGAAUGACCUCAGAGAACUUGAUGUACGAUGUUUUUUACCAUUUUAUCGCACCUGAAAUGAAAAGUGAGCCGCCGGUAUUGGAAUAACUCAAGACAGGGCACCAACAUUCAAAAAUUAUGUAGAAAAUACAAUCAAAUUUCUCAAAGAUAUUCAUCUAUAUAUUUGUCUAAUAUCUUUGGAAAUAUUUAAAAUAACAUAGAAAUAAAAGCUCUCAAACGUAGAGGAAGGGAGGGAGGAAAAGAAUAUAACUAAUAUUGAAGCUAUAACUUAAUACUGAGUAGGUACAAUAUUAUGGACAAGAACUUGUAUGGUUCCAAUAUGUUUGCAAUAAGUAUUCCUUUUGAUUUCACAAUUUCUCACAAAUCUUGUUGGAAAUUUUCCAAAUUGAAUACUAAAUGUCAGAGUAAUCAAAGAAUUAAAGUUUCUCUGACGACACGUCGAUUAUGAACACCAUGUCGAUCUUAUCAAAGAGAUCCGCUAAUUUUAACGACAUAUGAAAAGCAUCGGUUUGUGGAACCGCAUAUCAUCGUAGCGAUGUCAUUCCUUCCACAUUGAGAAAUCAGCUGUCGGUACGUUUUCCGGUUAUUUCGAAAAUGAUGACCGUUAAUAUUCAGCUAACCGUACCAGAUGACGACUUAAAAACAUCGGCAUAUUGCGCAAUAAGAAUUUUAACAUAUUAUUUAAACGACCGAAAUUCUAUGACAUCGUCUGGCUAAAAAGAAGGUACGGAAAUUUACUUCUAAUUAUACAUUGUAUACUGCUUACAAUUUUUCAGCCACACCUGACUCGACCGUUCAAUAUAUUUUUUUACUUUAUGCUCUCACUUUCACUUUAUGAUGCUCCGUGUCAUAUUAGAAAUAAUAUUUUUAAAUGUUACAUGUUAAGUGCAUUCAUAUUUAAUACAUUAUACGUGACAUACAUGCGAAGAAAGAACAUUUUGUGUAAUGUAUGGUACAUACAUGAUUUAAAUAUAUUAGAUAUCUGGAAUUAUUAACGAUAAUACUCAAAAUUCUUCGAUUUUGUUGUAGUAAGUACAGAAUAUUAAAAUCAUUUAAACGCCUCUCGGUAUCUUCCAGGAAGGUGGGAAACAAGGGUCGUGGUAAUAAUCUAAUAGUGCGUAUAAAGAGACAUGUUUGAAAGUGAGAGAGAAAUAUCGAUGUGUUGCGAUUAUAAGGAGAGAAACAGAUAGAGCAGGUCAAAGAAAGAAGGGGAAGGAAGUCACACGUGUAUCCAAGUUCCCCACUACCGUUUGUUUCUCGACUGAAAGGAGCGUCCUUCGGCAAUCUUCCCAUCCCUUCUGGUCCUCCGACCAUUUUCGACCAUCACAAUGCCUCCCCCUCCCCCUCCCUCCCGCUGCGGCAGAGAUCGCGAGGAUCUGUAACCAAUCAGGGUCAUUUGCAAUGCCUCUACGGCUUGCACACUUAAUCUCGGUGCAUAUUAUUAACUACUCACGCGUACAAUACUGUGAUCGUUUCGCUAUCUACACAUAGAUCUAAAGUCAAUACAGAUGAUUUAUUAAUAGAUUGUGCAUGUGAAUAAUAUAGAACGUUUUAAAUAUAUAUAUAUAUAUAUAUAUAUAUAUAUAUAUAUAUACGAGAUAUAUAUGUACGAUGGAAUAUCUGGAAUUACCAAUACGAUAAGCUCAUAUUCCUUUAAAGUUGUUAAGCCGAUGACUUCAUUCUAAAUGAAACAAAGCUCCAGCAGUUUACAAAGGCGAGAUUAUUGAAUUUAUUAUGAUUUAAUAAUUUUAUUUAUUAUGAUAAACCAUUAUUGUAAUUAUGUUCUUCUUAUUUUAUAUAUAGAUCGUAAGUUUUACCGUUGACUAAGAAUAGGACGCUGUAUACUCAUCUGUGAUUUGAACUACACAAUAUUAAGAAAGAAGUAUAUACAUUCAAUUUUAUAAUAAUUUUCAUAAAUUUCAUAACAAUUUUACUGCUAGUAUCUUGGUAUAAUGUUAUUAUUAAUGUCAAUAUAAAAAUCAUUAAAAUAUACAAUUAAAAGUGUAAAAUUGCAGAUUACAUUGACAAUUAUUUAGAUGUAAUAUGUAUUUACACGCAAGAAUUUAAUGUAUAUAAUAUUAUAGCAUAUAUAAUAGAUAUAAUUUAUUAUGUAAUAUAUUAGAUAUAUCUCCAAUAUAAAGUGCAGUAGAUAAAAUCAAUAUUGUUGAAAUAACCUAUUUGAUAGAAUAAUUACCCAAUGAUUAAAAUUCUGUGUUUGACUUAAGUCUCAGCUCAUUCAAAAUUAAUGUUUAAGAAUUUUUAUAUAUGAGUACAUUUAUCUUUUUUAUAUGUUAAUAAUAUAAUCAACUUUAUCGACUAUGCAUAUCAUCAUUUUGUGCAAUGUUAUUUCUUCUUCUGAAGAGGUCAUUGAGUAAUUAUUUUGAGGAUAUUGCUGCCUAUUUUAAACAAAUAAAUACUUUACUUUUAUAUUA